GCUCAGAUUGAACGCUGGCGGUAUGCCUANCACAUGCAAGUCGAACGGUAACAGAGAGAAGCUUGCUUCUUUGCUGACGAGUGGCGGACGGGUGAGUAACGCGUGGGAAUCUACCCAGUAGUUGGGGAUAGCCCGGAGAAAUCCGGAUUAAUACCGAAUAAUGUCUACGGACGAAAAGGUGCCUCCUCUUGAAAGCACUUGCUAUUGGAUGAGCCCGCGUUAGAUUAGUUUGUUGGUGGGGUAACGGCCUACCAAGACUGCGAUCUAUAGCUGGUUUGAGAGGAUGAUCAGCCACAUUGGGACUGAGACACGGCCCAGACUCCUACGGGAGGCAGCAGUGGGGAAUAUUGGACAAUGGGCGCAAGCCUGAUCCAGCAAUACCGCGUGUGUGAAGAAGGCCUAGGGUUGUAAAGCACUUUUAUGUAGGAAGAACGGUUGUGAGUUAAUAGCUCAUGACUUUGACGGUACUACAAGAAUAAGCACCGGCUAACUCCGUGCCAGCAGCCGCGGUAAUACGGAGGGUGCGAGCGUUAAUCGGAAUUACUGGGCGUAAAGGGUACGUAGGCGGCUUGAUAAGUCAGAUGUGAAAUCCCCGGGCUUAACCUGGGAACUGCAUUUGAAACUGUCUGGCUAGAGUGAGUGAGAGGUUAGUGGAAUUCAAGGCGUAGCGGUGAAAUGCGUAGAGGUCUUGAGGAACAUCAGUGGCGAAGGCGACUAACUGGCACUACA
rnacentral:rRNA from 1 species